AGAGUUUGAUCAUGGCUCAGGAUGAACGCUAGCGGCAGGCUUAACACAUGCAAGUCGAGGGGUAUAACUCUUCGGAAUUAGAGACCGGCGCACGGGUGCGUAACGCGUAUGCAAUCUACCUUUUACAGCGGGAUAGCCCAGAGAAAUUUGGAUUAAUACCUCAUAGCAUAGCAGCUUCGCAUGAAGCCGCUAUUAAAGUCACAACGGUAAAAGAUGAGCAUGCGUCCCAUUAGCUAGUCGGUAAGGUAACGGCUUACCAAGGCUACGAUGGGUAGGGGUCCUGAGAGGGAGAUCCCCCACACUGGUACUGAGACACGGACCAGACUCCUACGGGAGGCAGCAGUGAGGAAUAUUGGACAAUGGGCGCAAGCCUGAUCCAGCCAUGCCGCGUGCAGGAUGACGGUCCUAUGGAUUGUAAACUGCUUUUAUACGAGAAGAAACACUCCAACGUGUUGGAGCUUGACGGUAUCGUAAGAAUAAGGAUCGGCUAACUCCGUGCCAGCAGCCGCGGUAAUACGGAGGAUCCAAGCGUUAUCCGGAAUCAUUGGGUUUAAAGGGUCCGUAGGCGGUUUAAUAAGUCAGUGGUGAAAGCCCAUCGCUCAACGGUGGUACGGCCAUUGAUACUGUUAAACUUGAAUUAUUAGGAAGUAACUAGAAUAUGUAGUGUAGCGGUGAAAUGCUUAGAGAUUACAUGGAAUACCAAUUGCGAAGGCAGGUUACUACUAAUUGAUUGACGCUGAUGGACGAAAGCGUGGGUAGCGAACAGGAUUAGAUACCCUGGUAGUCCACGCCGUAAACGAUGGAUACUAGCUGUUGGGAGCAAUCUCAGUGGCUAAGCGAAAGUGAUAAGUAUCCCACCUGGGAGUACGUUCGCAAGAAUGAAACUCAAAGGAAUUGACGGGGGCCCGCACAAGCGGUGGAGCAUGUGGUUUAAUUCGAUGAUACGCGAGGAACCUUACCAAGGCUUAAAUGUAGAUUGACCGAUUUGGAAACAGAUCUUUCGCAAGACAAUUUACAAGGUGCUGCAUGGUUGUCGUCAGCUCGUGCCGUGAGGUGUCAGGUUAAGUCCUAUAACGAGCGCAACCCCUGUUGUUAGUUGCCAGCGAGUCAAGUCGGGAACUCUAACAAGACUGCCAGUGCAAACUGUGAGGAAGGUGGGGAUGACGUCAAAUCAUCACGGCCCUUACGCCUUGGGCUACACACGUGCUACAAUGGCCGGUACAGAGAGCAGCCACUGGGCGACCAGGAGCGAAUCUAUAAAACCGGUCACAGUUCGGAUCGGAGUCUGCAACUCGACUCCGUGAAGCUGGAAUCGCUAGUAAUCGGAUAUCAGCCAUGAUCCGGUGAAUACGUUCCCGGGCCUUGUACACACCGCCCGUCAAGCCAUGGAAGCUGGGGGUGCCUGAAGUCGGUGACCGCAAGGAGCUGCCUAGGGUAAAACUGGUAACUAGGGCUAAGUCGUAACAAGGUA
rnacentral:rRNA from 1 species